GACGAGCGCUGGCGGCGUGCUUAACACAUGCAAGUCGAACGGAAAGGCCCUGCUUUUGUGGGGUGCUCGAGUGGCGAACGGGUGAGUAACACGUGAGUAACCUGCCCUUGACUUUGGGAUAACUUCAGGAAACUGGGGCUAAUACCGGAUAGGAGCUCCUGCUGCAUGGUGGGGGUUGGAAAGUUUCGGCGGUUGGGGAUGGACUCGCGGCUUAUCAGCUUGUUGGUGGGGUAGUGGCUUACCAAGGCUUUGACGGGUAGCCGGCCUGAGAGGGUGACCGGCCACAUUGGGACUGAGAUACGGCCCAGACCCCUACGGGAGGCAGCAGUGGGGAAUAUUGCACAAUGGGCGGAAGCCUGAUGCAGCGACGCCGCGUGCGGGAUGACGGCCUUCGGGUUGUAAACCGCUUUCGCCUGUGACGAAGCGUGAGUGACGGUAAUGGGUAAAGAAGCACCGGCUAACUACGUGCCAGCAGCCGCGGUGAUACGUAGGGUGCGAGCGUUGUCCGGAUUUAUUGGGCGUAAAGGGCUCGUAGGUGGUUGAUCGCGUCGGAAGUGUAAUCUUGGGGCUUAACCCUGAGCGUGCUUUCGAUACGGGUUGACUUGAGGAAGGUAGGGGAGAAUGGAAUUCCUGGUGGAGCGGUGGAAUGCGCAGAUAUCAGGAGGAACACCAGUGGCGAAGGCGGUUCUCUGGGCCUUUCCUGACGCUGAGGAGCGAAAGCGUGGGGAGCGAACAGGCUUAGAUACCCUGGUAGUCCACGCUGUAAACGGUGGGUACUAGGUGUGGGGUCCAUUCCACGGGUUCCGUGCCGUAGCUAACGCUUUAAGUACCCCGCCUGGGGAGUACGGCCGCAAGGCUAAAACUCAAAGGAAUUGACGGGGCCCCGCACAAGCGGCGGAGCAUGCGGAUUAAUUCGAUGCAACGCGUAGAACCUUACCUGGGUUUGACAUGGAUCGGGAGUGCUCAGAGAUGGGUGUGCCUCUUUUGGGGUCGGUUCACAGGUGGUGCAUGCCUGUCGUCAGCUCGUGUCGUGAGAUGUUGGGUUAAGUCCCGCAACGAGCGCAACCCUUGUUCACUGUUGCCAGCACGUUAUGGUGGGGACUCAGUGGAGACCGCCGGGGUCAACUCGGAGGAAGGUGGGGAUGACGUCAAGUCAUCAUGCCCCUUAUGUCCAGGGCUUCACGCAUGCUACAAUGGCUGGUACAGAGAGUGGCGAGCCUGUGAGGGUGAGCGGAUCUCGGAAAGCCGGUCUCAGUUCGGAUUGGGGUCUGCAACUCGACCUCAUGAAGUCGGAGUCGCUAGUAAUCGCAGAUCAGCAACGCUGCGGUGAAUACGUUCCCGGGGCU
rnacentral:rRNA from 1 species